rnacentral:lncRNA from 1 species
UAAAGACACAACACUGGGCUGAUCAAUGACCUGUAAAUCUCCUCCCCUAGAGCCAAGGACAAAAAAGCCAAAAAAGCCAAAAAAAGAAGCAAAAAAGAAAAAAGCAAUAUUCAAAACAAUGAGAAUCAAAAUAAAAGACCCCAGAAUGGCAAAAUGGCAAAAAAAAAAACAAAAACAAAAAAAAAUUAUAGAAGGGGCAAUCCGGCUACCCGGGAGGAGAUAGCUAGGAACCCAGUCCCACCCCUCAGCCCACCCUUACGAGCCAAGAAGACAACGGACACUUCAAGGCAACGGACGGACCAACAACGAAGACGGACGACAGAACCGGGCCCAAAUACAGGACGCUGUGGUGGCCCGUAAGCUACAAAUACCAUACCAUACCAUACCAGUGCAUCAUGCAUCAGAAUAAGCUUCAUUGAACACACUCGUCAUCAUGAACGGCAUCUAGGAGUUUCAUGAGUUUGGAUCUGUGACCAGCUGAUUUCGCAGUAUCCAAUGGCAACCGUGUAUGACCAGGCGCCGCUUGGACGCCUUGUCCAGUCACGUCUUCUGGGACUGUGUGAUGACUGCCUCUGCAUUCUCAAGUGCCAGUUUCUGCCUCCGGCCCAUUUCAUUAUCAAAGGAUGCUGUUAGCUUAACGAACAGCUCUGCUCCAAGAUUCCAAACGGUUUUACGGUACUGUAUGCCUACAAAACGUUAAUAUUUUUUGGAGGCGGUAAUACUCGGAUGAACUGACCUUUAUGGGUGGGUAUUCAACGUUGAAUAAAGUAGGCUUGUAGCCCUCUGCCUAUUGACUUCUAAGGGUUUUAGUAAUAUUUAUCGAAUAUCUCAUCUGAUAUGCAUUUUCACUCACAGUCGUCGAAAUCGAAAAAUCAUAAGCUUAGAAAUCCGCGGACUUGACAUAUUAUAUUUUAUCGACGAUUCGUUUCGACUUGCUGUCAUGUCAGCUAAUCAUCCGUUGCUUCUCCUAUUUUCACAGGUGCAUUACCUGUCAUCUUUACCGUCGAUACCGUUGAAGAUUUUACCGUCGAUCACGGAGCACCCAUUGCGCUGGCCGUUGCUGGCACUUUUUUAUUUGUCACUAGCUAUUAGUUAUCUGCAGAUAUACAUUAGCCACCUGUACACCCGCUUACACUAGCUCUCAUCAUCUAGUUCUACGUAUGUGUGUGUUUGUUUUAAUUGUAUUGCCGAUGAAUUCGGUAGACAUGCUCCGCCCGCAAACAUGUACCACAUGAUGCAGUUCACUGAAUGUAGCAGUUAAUCACUCGUAAAAAGCGGUCAUGUUUUCGUAUAGUGUAGGUAUGCAUCUAUGUAAGCAUGUGUUCACACUCAUGAGCGAUCCACACAUGAUAUUGCAUUUCCUGUUCAGUUAUAUUUUUAGCACUGGAACACGAUGCUCAUACACUGUGUUGUUAUCUUUCUUUUUUCGCCUGCUCCUUCCUCCAACUUGUGUCUUUGAGUAUUUCAGUCACAUGCUCAAACGUUCUUAAAUGCUCUCGCCAUCGGUUUACGGAUGCGUUGAAAACGGACAUGUGAUGACCAAAUUUAACAAUAUGCGGACAAUGGAUCGACUUCUUGAAGCCUGUGGACGUGAUACACCUUCUCCAUCACCAUCAAGAGAUCAACAUUUUCGAAGACACUUGCGUACGGCUGCAGUGUCCGGCGCAAUGCUGAAUGCGACCUGUUAUCUGUUGGAUCUACUCUGUGAGCCCGAACCCCAGUGCAAGCCUCGGCUGCAGCACAAGCCACAUUCAUCGGCCCAAUCAUCAGUUAUUCAUCCUGCAAGUUUUAAGUCACUUCGUUGUGACCCGGACAUCGUCAUCUUUCAACGAGUUCAAAUGAUUAUUUCAUUCAUCAUCGUCGAUCAGACUCAUCAUGUAAAGACACUUCCAUAAUGCUAGCCGCCAUCUACGUUUGUGCAGGAAGCAAAUAUCAGGUUGUUAUUAGCUGCGGGCUACUCAGUACCGACUGAACUACUGGCAGUAGUGUGCGAGCACCUAAUACUUGUAUUGUGAUACCAAAGCUAAAACGGAUGAUAGCUUAGCGCAUAGGGCCCUACCGCUUUCCACACACACACA